rnacentral:lncRNA from 10 species
GCAUGAGCCACCGCGCCCGGCCAAAAGGUUUUUAAAAACAUGAAAUGAGUCAUUCUGUGCACACCAUUUUGUUGUCCCGACUUUGUGCCCAUAGCUGAGUUUGCCAGACGAGGGACCCCCAGUCAGCACCGUGGGCUCAAGAGAGGGCAGCCUCAGAAUCUCAGGUGGCCGGACUCAGGGCUAGCCCUGGUGUCCUGGACAGUGCCCAGACCUGAAGGCCGCAGGGGCCCCCUCCCCCACACCGCCCAGAGUGAAAGCUCCAGAAACAGCUCAGGGCCUGAGUCGGGAAUCCCUGAUCCCUAAAGUGGAGUUACAGAACUUUCAGGGCUGUGGGGAGGAUGAUGAAAGGGGCUCGGGGCGGCAGCCCCGUUGAGUCAAGGGGGAGUGCCCAGCUUUGACAUUUUAUCCACAGGAGGCUCGGAAGGGCAAAGUCCCAUUUCGCUUCCAUCUGGCUUUCCCGCCGCUUGCUCUGUGUGCCUGGUUUUGUUUUGUUUUUGUUGUUGUUGUUUUGAGGGAGUCUCGCCCUGUUGCCAGGCUGGAGUGCAGUGGUGCUAUCUCGGCUCACUGCAACCUCCACCUCCCGGGUUCAAGCGCUUCUCCUGCCUCAGCCUCCAAUGUAGCUGGGAUUACAGGCGCCCGCCACCACACCCAGCUACUUUUUUGUGUUUUUAGUAGAGACGAGGUUUCACCAUGUUGGUCAGGGUGAUCUCGAACUCCUGACCUCAAGUGAUCCGCCCACCUCAGCCUCCCCAAAGUGCUAGGAUCCGUGUGCCUUUAACUCCUUGCCUUUAGGAGUCGCCGUGCUGUAAGCAGCACUGCCCCGGGGUAAGGGCGGGCGCUGGAGACUGGCAGUGCUCACCAGCGCCCCCAGCUGGUAAGUAUGGCAGUCAUCGAGCCUGGGGGGAACGGAAAGCACCACUGGGAUUUCUCCCCGCUGAGCUGGGCAGUUCUCUCCUCUGCCCAGGGCGCUGCCGUGCCCCCAGAGGGCUUUGGGAAAUGGUGCUCAGGAGAGGACCACUGGGAAGACCGCGGAUGAACAUUCCAGAUCCCCUCGGGGAGAGAAGGCGCUCCUAGCCAGCUGGUCCUUGAGCGCACGCGCACUCCGUGUUGGAGCCCAUUUAGAAUAAACAUUCAAACCCUCAGAGCCCACUGGAGGGCUCAGGGCCUUUCACCUUGGCUAAGAAACGAUCCCCACAGCCUUGAAGCUGGGUGGAAGCUCAGGUAGGUGGUCAGGGUCCCUGGGUCAGCCUGUCUGCCCAGCUCCAGGCAGCUUUCCUGAUCCUUACAAACUCCGGGUGCAGCUCCACACCGCCGGGUCCCGCCCACCGGCUCCGCUCCGACCACGCCCACUCUACCCCUCAACACAGCCUUGACCCUGCCCCACUGGCCCUGCCCCAACCACGCUCAUCCCACUCCUCUGCCCCGCCCUUCUCGGCCCCGCCUCCCCCGCUCAGCUCAGCCCCCACUGGGCCUGGACCUCCCUGGUUCCUGUCUAUCCUCCCCUCCACCCUGCCCUCUCUAACCGAAUCCCCGCCCCAUCUAGAGCCCUAACCUCUAGAUCGGCCGGGGGUUCAUAGAUCAUAAGCCAGGCCCUGCUGGUGACCUGGAGGCCGCGGACAGCCGCCCUUCACCCUGGUGGGGCCACCCUGCCAGGAGCUGGCCUGGAGGCGGGGCCCGGGGCUGAAUUUGGGGUCGCUGCUCCCACUGCCCACGGUUCUUCCCCCAACCCUGCCCAGCUCUGGGGGCCUUUCUCUCAUCUCUCUCCCUUUUGUUGUUGCUGAAAAAUGCUGCUGUUUUUCUCGUGGCUAAGUUAUAUAUGCUCUUAAAAAGUAAUGCCCGGCAUGGAGGCUCACACCUUUAAUCCCAACGCUUUAGGAGGUGGAGGCGGGAGGAUCGCUUGAGCCCAGGAGUUCAAGACCAGCCUGGGUAACAAAGUGAGACCCCAUCUCCAUAAACAAACACAUAAAUAGUAAGAACUUGAUAAAGGUCUGAGAAAGAAAUUAGAGAUCACUGUGAAUCCUUUCCAUGCUGACAUUUUGGCACAUUUUCCCCAGGCUGCGUGAGGCCCAGGCUGAAUGUGCACAUUGGCAUCUUGUUUUCUUUAUUAACAUCAUUUCAGAAGCAUUUUCUGAGAUGAGUACAAACUGAAAACAUUCUUCUGAACACCUGCAUGGAGCCCUCUUUUCACACAUGACCCUGUGAUGGGCCAGCUGGGCUUUGGAUAAAAAAAAGAAAAAAAGGAAAAAAUGAUUAGAGGUGAUCCAGUAGCGCGAUGCUCCUCCCAUCUGAGGCAAAGGAAGAAGAAAUAAUUUAAAAAUGUUCCCAGAGCAAAAACAGCCGUUUUCUAAAGAAUGGCCCCACAAUUGGUUCAAGUUGAAGAGCCUCCCCGAGGAAUAACAGCUUCGUCAUCCAUCUAGUUCAGGCGUUGUUUCUAUAGUAACCUGUGACGUGGUCCCCUUCCCAAAACACAAAACAAAACAAAAAACAGAAACAAAAACAAUGAAUCCCUGAGAACAGUGAGAAAGAAAAAGCUCUUGCUUCCUUUGGCCUACGGAAGGGUGUGGCUGUUGAGCUGAGCCUUGGAGUUCCUGGGUUUGCCGGUUUCCCCCUCUGGCAGUGCUGGGGGCUUUGAGCCAGCAACCUCAAAGAAUGCCCAUGCCAGGGAGGCCAGCAUGCACGCAGGUACCAGCACAUCUGGGCACUUUCUCCAUGGUCCGCUGUCCUAAUCCUGACUAUUUCAGCACCCAGGGAGCAAGCCAAGAACAAAAACACCUAUCAUCCAUGCCCGGCAUUAGAAAAUCUCAUUGUUGGUGAGAAUGAUGGUUUCCAGCUUCAUCCGUGUCCCUACAAAGGACAUGAACUCAUCGUUUUCUAUGGCUGCGUAGUAUUCCAUGGUGUAUAUGUGCCACAUUUUCUUAAUCCAGUCUAUCAUUGAUGGACAUUUGGGUUGGUUUCAAGUCUUUGCUAUUGUGAAUAGUGCUGCAAUAAACAUACGUGAGCAUGUGUCUCUAUGGAAGCAUGAUUUAUAAUCCUUUGGGUAUAUACCCAGUAAUGGGAUUGCUGGAUCAAAUGGUAUUUCUAGUUCAGCAAACUAUCCCAAGGACAAAAAAACCAAACACCGCAUGUUCUCACUCGUAGGUGGGAACUGAACAAGGAGAACACUUGGACACAGGAAGGGG